rnacentral:rRNA from 1 species
UACGUAGGGUGCGAGCGUUAAUCGGAAUUACUGGGCGUAAAGCGUGCGCAGGCGGUUUUGUAAGCCAGAUGUGAAAUCCCCGGGCUUAACCUGGGAAUGGCAUUUGGGACUGCAAGGCUCGAGUGCGGCAGAGGAGACUGGAAUUCCUGGUGUAGCAGUGAAAUGCGUAGAUAUCAGGAGGAACACCGAUGGCGAAGGCAGGUCUCUGGGCUGACACUGACGCUGAGGCGCGAAAGCCAGGGGAGCGAACGGG